rnacentral:rRNA from 1 species
GGGACCGCACAAGCAGCGAGCAUGUGGUUUAAGUUCGAAGCAACGACGAAGAACCUUACCAGGGCUUGACAUGCCGCUGACCGGUUUAGAGAUAGAUCUUUACCUUCGGGGUACAGCGGACACAGGUGGUGCAUGGUUGUCGUCAGCUCGUGUCGUGGGAUGUUGGGUUAAGUCCCGCAACGAGCGCAACCCCUAUUGUUAGUUGCCAUCAUUCAGUUGGGCACUCUAGCGAGACUGCCGGUAAUAAACCGGAGGAAGGUGGGGAUGACGUCAAAUCAUCAUGCCCCUUAUGACCUGGGCUACACACGUGCUACAAUGGUUGGUACAACGAGUUGCGAGUCGGUGACGGCGAGCUAAUCUCUUAAAGCCAAUCUCAGUUCGGAUUGUAGGCUGCAACUCGCCUACAUGAAGUCGGAAUCGCUAGUAAUCGCGGAUCAGCACGCCGCGGUGAAUACGUUCCCGGGCCUU